UGUAUAUACACCGUGCCCAAAGAAGGAGCACAAACCAGUGUCUGCAGAUGUGCAGUGUGCCGAAUCGAAAUCCGACAAAUAAUGAGGAACUCCGGAAUGCUGGGUGGUAAAAACGCUUAGAAAGCGAAAGCGGAGAAGCGGAGGGAAGGAUGCACAUGGUCCUGAGGGAGCGAAACCGAGCGCUCGCUCCGCCAAGGCAGGGCCGGGCACAGCCGGUCCGGACCGCCGCGAAGCCGCGGGGAUGGCCGCCAGCACCGGUAGGACGCGCACGUUUAAGGCCCUUUCCGAGGCAGAAGAAUACAAAAUGCACUUACGGUUCGCGGAGAACCAGCUCCGUCCUCUCCCCGCGGCGAGCUGGGCACCCGCCGGCCCCCAGCGCCGGGCAAGCCGCGGUCCCCGAGGGCCGCCCGAGCACUGCCCGCCGUUUCCCCGGACCCGACCCGCCCGGGCCGGGCCCCGCGUCCCGCCCGAGCGGCCCCGGGCAGCGCCAGCGGCGCCGCCGCGCUCCGUCUUCGCCCGCUGCGCACCCGGCAGGUCCCGGGAGCCGAGAACUGGGACUUUGUAGGCCAGUUGAAGACACGAACCUCUCAUCUCGCCCGCAAAGACCCAGCCCUCAGCUCGCCCAUCAGGCGCAGGCGACCACUACUCACCGCUAUCUUUAACUGAACCCCUUUUUCUGGCCGGCGCUCACCGCCAGCGCAGAGCCCCCGCCCCGAGGCCAUCGGGGACCCCGCCGGAGCGGGAUCAUUCCCCCGGCCGAGGAAGGCAGCGAUCCGCGCCGCCCCCUCCCCAAACUUGGGAGCUGUCCCGGUCCCGGCUCCCGGAGCCGGUCCCGCGCCUCGGCCCGGGCCCCGACGCCCAUCGUGACUCGGCACCGCUGAUCCCGCUCCCGCUCCUGCGGGAACUUCGUGCGCGGAGAGGGGGGAGCAAAAACACCAAAAGGGACAGAAAAUCCCGAGCCCCUCCGUUACCUGCUCUGCGUAGGGGAGGAGAGAGCACGGAAAAGGGGCUUGUGGGCCCCCGCCGCCGCCUCCCCGCCCAGAGCCGCAGGUCCUCGGGAAUCCGCACGGGAAGGGCUCGGGCUGAGCUACAGCCGAGCGGGGAGCGGCGGCGGGCGGGCGGCCGCGUUCCCCUCUCCUGCCUCCCGCAGCCCAGAGGCUCGCAGAUGGGUAUUUAAGCCGGUAUUGAUCAGGAUGGGUUUUUUCCUACCCUUCCUCUCUGCCCUUGCAAAAGGCAAAAAAUAAAAAAAAAUAAAUAAAAUACGUUGCCACAAGGGACGUUGCAACUCGUUUCUCUCGGCUUUUCAAACGCGGCGUUUGCCCCAGCGAGAUUGAAGUGUCCCGACACAAGAGCACCAGAGAAGUAGGGAAAAGAGGGGAAAAAUACCAAAACCACCCAAGGCAGAAAAAAAAAAAAAAAAAAAAAAAAAAAA